GCCUUGUGGUGAAGUUCAUGUUGAGUUGCAAGCUCAUCGAUGCGCAUGAGAAUGCGCCGGGGCCU
rnacentral:tRNA from 1 species